UACGUAGGGGGCUAGCGUUGUCCGGAUUUAUUGGGCGUAAAGGGCGCGUAGGUGGCUUGGCAAGCGUGUGGUGAAAGCCCGGGGCUCAACCCCGGGUCUGCCGUGCGAACUGCUAUGGCUUGAGCACUGUAGAGGCAGGUAGAAUUCCGGGUGUAGCGGUGGAAUGCGUAGAGAUCCGGAAGAAUACCGGUGGCGAAGGCGGCCUGCUGGGCAGUGGCUGACACUGAGGCGCGACAGCGUGGGGAGCAAACAGG
rnacentral:rRNA from 1 species